CCUACGGGGGGCUGCAGUGGGGAAUAUUGGACAAUGGGCGCAAGCCUGAUCCAGCAAUGCCGCGUGUGUGAAGAAGGCCUUCGGGUUGUAAAGCACUUUUAUCAGGAGCGAAACGCUGUCGGCUAAUACCCGGCGGAACUGACGGUACCUGAGGAAUAAGCACCGGCUAACUUCGUGCCAGCAGCCGCGGUAAUACGAAGGGUGCAAGCGUUAAUCGGAAUUACUGGGCGUAAAGCGUGCGUAGGCGGUUUCUUAAGUCUGCUGUGAAAUCCCCG
rnacentral:rRNA from 1 species